rnacentral:rRNA from 1 species
GAUGAACGCUAGCGGCAGGCUUAACACAUGCAAGUCGAGGGGCAGCACGGACUUCGGUCUGGUGGCGACCGGCAAACGGGUGCGGAACACGUACACAAUCUACCUUUAUCUGGGGUAUAGCCCGAAGAAAUUCGGAUUAAUCCCCCAUAAUAUAUUAGAGUGGCAUCACUUCGAUAUUAAAACUCCGGUGGAUAAAGAUGAGUGUGCGUGCCAUUAGCUAGUUGGUAGGGUACCGGCCUACCAAGGCAACGAUGGGUAGCUGGUGGGAGAGCCAGACCAGCCAAACGGGCACUGAGACACGGGCCCGACUCCUACGGGAAGCAGCAGUGAGUAUUAUUGGUGAAUGGACGCAAGUCUGAACCCGCCAUGCCGCGUGAAUGAGGAAGGCCUUCUGGGUUGUAAACUUCUUUUAUUGGGGAAGAAAAUUACGGUUUCUACUGUAACCAACGGUACCCAAGGAAUAAGCACCGGCUAACUCCGUGCCGGCAGCAGCCGCAG